rnacentral:lncRNA from 1 species
UGCAUGAUUCUGCUUAUAUGAGGAAAAACCUCCAUACCUUGGAUUCUAGAUCCCUGGGUCCCCUUACCCCAGGAGGGCACUAAUAGCUUACUCAGUGGUAUUGAGGCUGUCCAGCAGACCAUCCCACUUUGAUUUGGAAGAUCAGUGCCUAUGCAAGAGGAAAAGCAUGCAAUUGGGAAUAGGACAGAGGGUUUCCAGAGAGGAGGAACACCCAGGACAAAGGAGGGGUAACACGAAUUCCUGAGAACUGACCACCAAGUUCAUGACUUUUGGAGCCCAGACCAAAAGUCUUCUAGGGCCCAAGCUUGGGACAGAAGGAGUGGAUGCCACCAUCAGAGGAUGCCUGUUACCUCAAGGUAUGUCCAAGUAUGAGUAGGCCUGGGCACAAAGCCAGGUAAGCAGGACCUGCUUCAGGUGGGCAAGGUUACUGGAUCGCCUCAAGGAGAGGAUUCCCCAAGGCCCUGGUCAACAGGGCUGCUUUAAAAUUGUUGUAAUACCCAAGGACUUACUUUAGGAUACCCUAC